AUAUUUCGGAACUGAGUCUAGUUCCUUCGAUAUCAGUGUAAUCUAAUAAUCAUGAUAUUUGUCGUGUUGGUGUAGUACACUACACGACAAAUAUCAUGAUUAUUAGAUCACACUGAUAUCGAAGGAACUAGACUCAGUUCCGAAAUAU